rnacentral:rRNA from 1 species
UACGGAGGGAGCUAGCGUUGUUCGGAAUUACUGGGCGUAAGCGCACGUAGGCGGCUUUGUAAGUUAGAGGUGAAAGCCCGGGGCUCAACUCCGGAACUGCCUUUAAGACUGCAUCGCUUGAAUCCAGGAGAGGUGAGUGGAAUUCCGAGUGUAGAGGUGAAAUUCGUAGAUAUUCGGAAGAACACCAGUGGCGAAGGCGGCUCACUGGACUGGUAUUGACGCUGAGGUGCGAAAGCGUGGGGAGCAAACAGGAUUAGAUACCCGCGUAGUCC